AAGAGCUUGCUCAGAUAUGACGAUGGACAUUGCAAAGAGUGGCGAACGGGUGAGUAACACGUGGGAAACUACCUCUUAGCAGGGGAUAACAUUUGGAAACAGAUGCUAAUACCGUAUAACAAUAGCAACCGCAUGGUUGCUACUUAAAAGAUGGUUCUGCUAUCACUAAGAGAUGGUCCCGCGGUGCAUUAGUUAGUUGGUGAGGUAAUGGCUCACCAAGACGAUGAUGCAUAGCCGAGUUGAGAGACUGAUCGGCCACAAUGGGACUGAGACACGGCCCAUACUCCUACGGGAGGCAGCAGUAGGGAAUCUUCCACAAUGGGCGAAAGCCUGAUGGAGCAACGCCGCGUGUGUGAUGAAGGGUUUCGGCUCGUAAAACACUGUUGUAAGAGAAGAAUGACAUUGAGAGUAACUGUUCAAUGUGUGACGGUAUCUUACCAGAAAGGAACGGCUAAAUACGUGCCAGCAGCCGCGGUAAUACGUAUGUUCCAAGCGUUAUCCGGAUUUAUUGGGCGUAAAGCGAGCGCAGACGGUUGAUUAAGUCUGAUGUGAAAGCCCGGAGCUCAACUCCGGAAUGGCAUUGGAAACUGGUUAACUUGAGUGUUGUAGAGGUAAGUGGAACUCCAUGUGUAGCGGUGGAAUGCGUAGAUAUAUGGAAGAACACCAGUGGCGAAGGCGGCUUACUGGACAACAACUGACGUUGAGGCUCGAAAGUGUGGGUAGCAAACAGGAUUAGAUACCCUGGUAGUCCACACCGUAAACGAUGAAUACUAGGUGUUAGGAGGUUUCCGCCUCUUAGU
rnacentral:rRNA from 1 species